GGUCCUGUAGCUCAGUUGGGAGAGAAUCACCUUGACAUGGUGGGGGUCGCUGGUUCGAGACCAGUCGGGACCA
rnacentral:tRNA from 1 species